rnacentral:rRNA from 1 species
CCCUUAGACGUUCUGGGCCGCACGCGCGCUACACUGACACAGGCAACGAGCUUUCCUUUACCGAAAGGUAUGGGUAAUCUUUUGAAACUGUGUCGUGCUGGGGAUAGAUCCUUGUAAUUUUUGAUCUUAAACGAGGAAUUCCUAGUAAGCGCGAGUCAUCAACUCGCGUUGAUUACGUCCCUGCCCUUUGUACACACCGCCCGUCGCUACUACCGAUUGAAUGGCUUAGUGAGGCCUCAGGAUCCGCGCUUAAUGUGUGGAGAAUUUGGACAAACUACGUCAUUUAGAGGAAGUAAAAGUCGUAACA